GCGGAAGUAGCUCAGUGGUAGAGCAUCACCUUGCCAAGGUGGGGGUCGCGAGUUCGAAUCUCGUUUUCCGCUCCA
rnacentral:tRNA from 10 species